rnacentral:misc_RNA from 1 species
GAUGAAGAACGCAGCGAAAUGCGAUACGUAAUGUGAAUUGCAGAAUUCAGUGAAUCAUCGAGUCUUUGAACGCACAUUGCGCGCCCUGGUAUUCCGGGGGGCAUGCCUGUCCGAGCGUCAUUGCUGCCCUCAAGCACGGCUUGUGUGUUGGGCCUCCGCCCCCCGGCUCCCGGGGGGCGGGCCCGAAAGGCAGCGGCGGCACCGCGUCCGGUCCUCGAGCGUAUGGGGCUUCGUCACCCGCUCCGUAGGCCCGGCCGGCGCCCGCCGGCGACCCCCCUCAAUCUUUCCAGGUUGACCUCGGAUCAGGUAGGGAUACCCGCUGAACUUAAGCAUAUCAAUAAGCGGAGGA